rnacentral:ncRNA from 1 species
AACGCCCUCGAUCGCGCCGGUGUCCCGAAAGGGGCUUAAUAGGGAAUGGGGUGUAAAUCCCCGGCUGUCCCUGCAACUGUAAGCGGUGAGCGAGAGACAUAUCGAUCCUUUCCGGGUGGAAAGGAUCAGCCACUGGGCCGGACGCUAAAUCCUGCGAGGCCUGGGAAGGCCAUGUUUCAAGCGAUGACCCGCGAGCCAGGAGACCUGCCGGCGUCUGGUCGCUCUU